UGUGUGUUCCAGGUAAAUCCGGUUCACUUUAACACUGAGGCGUGAUGACGAGGCACCACGGUGCUGAAGCAACAAAUGCCCUGCUUCCAGGAAAAGCCUCUAAGCAUCAGGUAACAUCAAAUCGUACCCCAAACCGACACAGGUGGUCAGGUAGAGAAUACCAAGGCGCUUGAGAGAACUCGGGUGAAGGAACUAGGCAAAAUGGUGCCGUAACUUCGGGAGAAGGCACGCUGACACGUAGGUGAAGUGAUUUACUCACGGAGCUGAAGUCAGUCGAAGAUACCAGCUGGCUGCAACUGUUUAUUAAAAACACAGCACUGUGCAAACACGAAAGUGGACGUAUACGGUGUGACGCCUGCCCGGUGCCGGAAGGUUAAUUGAUGGGGUCAGCGCAAGCGAAGCUCCUGAUCGAAGCCCCGGUAAACGGCGGCCGUAACUAUAACGGUCCUAAGGUAGCGAAAUUCCUUGUCGGGUAAGUUCCGACCUGCACGAAUGGCGUAAUGAUGGCCAGGCUGUCUCCACCCGAGACUCAGUGAAAUUGAACUCGCUGUGAAGAUGCAGUGUACCCGCGGCAAGACGGAAAGACCCCGUGAACCUUUACUAUAGCUUGACACUGAACAUUGAGCCUUGAUGUGUAGGAUAGGUGGGAGGCUUUGAAGCGUGGACGCCAGUCUGCGUGGAGCCGACCUUGAAAUACCACCCUUUAAUGUUUGAUGUUCUAACGUGGACCCGUAAUCCGGGUUGCGGACAGUGUCUGGUGGGUAGUUUGACUGGGGCGGUCUCCUCCUAAAGAGUAACGGAGGAGCACGAAGGUUGGCUAAUCCUGGUCGGACAUCAGGAGGUUAGUGCAAUGGCAUAAGCCAGCUUGACUGCGAGCGUGACGGCGCGAGCAGGUGCGAAAGCAGGUCAUAGUGAUCCGGUGGUUCUGAAUGGAAGGGCCAUCGCUCAACGGAUAAAAGGUACUCCGGGGAUAACAGGCUGAUACCGCCCAAGAGUUCAUAUCGACGGCGGUGUUUGGCACCUCGAUGUCGGCUCAUCACAUCCUGGGGCUGAAGUAGGUCCCAAGGGUAUGGCUGUUCGCCAUUUAAAGUGGUACGCGAGCUGGGUUUAGAACGUCGUGAGACAGUUCGGUCCCUAUCUGCCGUGGGCGCUGGAAGAUUGAGGGGGGCUGCUCCUAGUACGAGAGGACCGGAGUGGACGCAUCACUGGUGUUCGGGUUGUCAUGCCAAUGGCACUGCCCGGUAGCUAAAUGCGGAAAAGAUAAGUGCUGAAAGCAUCUAAGCACGAAACUUGCCCCGAGAUGAGUCUUCCCUGAGACUUUGAGUCUCCUGAAGGAACGUUAAAGACGAUGACGUUGAUAGGCCGGGUGUGUAAGCGCAGCGAUGCGUUGAGCUAACCGGUACUAAUGAACCGUGAGGCUUAACCUU
rnacentral:rRNA from 1 species